rnacentral:rRNA from 1 species
UACGGAGGGUGCAAGCGUUAUCCGGAUUCACUGGGUUUAAAGGGUGCGUAGGUGGGCUGGUAAGUCAGUGGUGAAAUCUCCAGGCUUAACUUGGAAACUGCCAGUGAUACUAUCAGUCUUGAAUACCGUGGAGGUCAGCGGAAUAUGUCAUGUAGCGGUGAAAUGCUUAGAUAUGACAUAGAACACCAAUUGCGAAGGCAGCUGGCUACACGAAUAUUGACACUGAUGCACGAAAGCGUGGGGAUCAAACAGG